AAUAAAUAAAUAAAAUUUCACAUGAUAGAAAACAUAAAUCAUGUUGGCUACUCACUAAAUUAUUUUAGCAAUCUUAUAAUUUUAAAUAAAGUCAUAGGGUACUUUCGAAAUUAAAAAAUUAUAUUAGCAUCUCACAGAUGUUGAAAUGCUAAUGCUACCCUGAGGUAGCAUCAGUAUUUGAACAUUUCCAAUACAACCUCCAGGCUAAAUAAGAUUCGAAAAAAAUUUAUCGAAUAUCAAUUCAUAUCUUAAGAUGAGAGGAAAAAGACUCGGCCUGCCUAAGGAAUUAGAUGAGUGGAAUUGUUUCAUAUCUUAUUAACUUUCUAUCCAUCUUUAAAGAGAAAUGCAUUCUUGAUUGAUUAUCUAGAACUGACCAUGGUAAAUUGUUAACAAUGUUCCAUUACAGGUAGCUUUCGACAAAAUUGGUUCUAUGACUGCAAACACAAUCACAAAGGAAAGAAAGAAACAGGAACCAGCAGUGAUGGCUGAGCUUGACCAGAGACAGAGACGACUCAACACCCUGAACACAAACGGGUAAUAGUCUGGUCGAUGCUACGAGGGAGAUGGAACAAGGUUUCAUCCCAAUGGGUGACGACCAGAAAACUAAACCUGCUAAGCGAAAUUGUCUUAGACAUUGUGAAUUGGCAUUUGGUUAAUCACCUGCCUGAUAUUCUUUUUCUUUUCUCUGUAUUCGUGUAAAAUAUUUGCUCUUUUGUGAAACAAAGAAAAUUCACAGGUCCGAUAUCUUGGAACUUAAAUCGAUGUUUUCUAUAAGGUUUCAUAGGGCUGGUAAUUCCCAGCAUCAAGCUGUUGAAAUUCCAACUUGUGAGCUA